UUUGAGUUCCCUCCAGUGAUAUGCUGGGAAGAAUGAAGAGCCUCUGUCAUAACCUCUUCUGUUAUUUUAGUACAGCCUUGCAGUUGCCAUUCAGAUGAAUGGACUUGAAGAUUCUACGCCGGGUCUAACCUGGCACAGGACCUGGGAGCAGACUCCUCUGCACAAGGGAGCUCAAUGGAGCAGCAUGGCUGGGAAAUGGCUGCUGAGCUCGGACAGUAAGCUUGAGAUUUCCAUGUUGGACAAGCGCCCCGAAACUUACCAGCAUCAUUGAGCAAUGUCAGCAGUUCUGCAUAACCCAG